CGAAAGCCUGACGGAGCAAGACCGCGUGAGGGAGGAAGGCUCUUGGGUUGUAAACCUCUUUUCUCAGGGAAGAAGCUCUGACGGUACCUGAGGAAUCAGCCUCGGCUAACUCCGUGCCAGCAGCCGCGGUAAUACGGAGGAGGCAAGCGUUAUCCGGAAUGAUUGGGCGUAAAGCGUCCGCAGGUGGCAAUGUAAGUCUGCUGUCAAAACCCAGGGCUCAACUCUGGUCAGGCAGUGGAAACUACAUAGCUAGAGUUCGGUAGGGGCAAAGGGAAUUCCCGGUGUAGCGGUGAAAUGCGUAGAGAUCGGGAAGAACAUCGGUGGCGAAAGCGCUCUACUGGGCCAUAACUGACGCUGAGGGACGAAAGCUAGGGGAGCG
rnacentral:rRNA from 1 species